GUGUGACUGCGUACCUUUUGUAUAAUGGGUCAGCGACUUAUAUUCUGUAGCAAGGUUAACCGAAUAGGGGAGCCGAAGGGAAACCGAGUCUUAACUGGGCGUUAAGUUGCAGGGUAUAGACCCGAAACCCGGUGAUCUAGCCAUGGGCAGGUUGAAGGUUGGGUAACACUAACUGGAGGACCGAACCGACUAAUGUUGAAAAAUUAGCGGAUGACUUGUGGCUGGGGGUGAAAGGCCAAUCAAACCGGGAGAUAGCUGGUUCUCCCCGAAAGCUAUUUAGGUAGCGCCUCGUGAAUUCAUCUCCGGGGGUAGAGCACUGUUUCGGCAAGGGGGUCAUCCCGACUUACCAACCCGAUGCAAACUGCGAAUACCGGAGAAUGUUAUCACGGGAGACACACGGCGGGUGCUAACGUCCGUCGUGAAGAGGGAAACAACCCAGACCGCCAGCUAAGGUCCCAAAGUCAUGGUUAAGUGGGAAACGAUGUGGGAAGGCCCAGACAGCCAGGAUGUUGGCUUAGAAGCAGCCAUCAUUUAAAGAAAGCGUAAUAGCUCACUGGUCGAGUCGGCCUGCGCGGAAGAUGUAACGGGGCUAAACCAUGCACCGAAGCUGCGGCAGCGACGCUUAUGCGUUGUUGGGUAGGGGAGCGUUCUGUAAGCCUGCGAAGGUGUGCUGUGAGGCAUGCUGGAGGUAUCAGAAGUGCGAAUGCUGACAUAAGUAACGAUAAAGCGGGUGAAAAGCCCGCUCGCCGGAAGACCAAGGGUUCCUGUCCAACGUUAA
rnacentral:rRNA from 1 species